rnacentral:tRNA from 1 species
GGCGUCGUCGUCUAGGGGUUAGGACGCAGCACUUUGAAUGCUGUAACGCGGGUUCAAAUCCCGUCGAUGCCU